UUCUAAUUAGUACAGUGGCUAGUAUAUCCGGCUCUCAACUUUGCUUUGAGUUUCCUGGAAGACCGGAGUUCGAUCCUCCGAUUCGGAG